UUUAAAUGUAAAAUUAAAAUACUAAAGUAGUAAUAGUUAAGUUCUUUAAAUUUAAAAAUUUUGGCGGUAUUUUAGUCUAUUCAGAGGAACCUGUUCUAUAAUUGAUAGUCCACGAUUUAAAUUACUUAAUUUAAAAAUUUGUAUAUCGUCGUGUUUAAUGAUUUUAUAAGAAUUAAAAUUUUUAAUAUUUUAUAUUAAAAAAUAUAUCAGAUCAAGGUGCAGUUUAUAAUUAAGAAGAAAUGGGUUACAAUAAAUUUAUUUAAACGGAAAAAUAUAUUUAAUUAUGUUUUGAAGGAGGAUUUGAUAGUAAUAAAAUUUAUAUAAAUUUUAUGAUUAUAGCUCUAAAAUAUGU
rnacentral:rRNA from 1 species